rnacentral:rRNA from 1 species
GAGACAGCAGUCGCCUCGGUAAUACGGAGGAUCCAAGCGUUAUCCGGAAUCAUUGGGUUUAAAGGGUCCGUAGGCGGUUUAGUAAGUCAGUGGUGAAAGCCCAUCGCUCAACGGUGGAACGGCCAUUGAUACUGCUGAACUUGAAUUAUUAGGAAGUAACUAGAAUAUGUAGUGUAGCGGUGAAAUGCGUUGAGAUCGGAAAGAACACCAACGGCGAAAGCACUCUGCUGGGCCGACACUGACACUGAGAGACGAAGGCUAGGGGAGCAAAUGGGAUUAGAUACCCGAGUAGUCCCUGUCUCUUAUAC